UACGGGGGGGGCAAGCGUUGUUCGGAAUUACUGGGCGUAAAGGGCGCGUAGGCGGUUUGCUAAGUUGGAUGUGAAAACUCUGGGCUUAACCCAGAGCCUGCAUCCAAAACUAGCAGGCUAGAGUUCUGGAGGGGAUAGCGGAAUUCCUGGUGUAGCGGUGAAAUGCGUAGAUAUCAGGAGGAACACCGGUGGCGAAGGCGGCUCGCUGGGACGGUACUGACGCUAAGGCGCGAAAGCGUGGGGAGCGAACAGG
rnacentral:rRNA from 1 species